UACAGAGGGUGCGAGCGUUGUCCGGAAUCACUGGGCGUAAAGGGCGCGUAGGCGGCUUGAUAAGCGUGCGGUGAAAGCCCGGGGCUCAACCCCGGGUCGGCCGUGCGAACUGUCGAGCUGGAGCACUGUAGAGGCAGGUGGAAUUCCGGGUGUAGCGGUGGAAUGCGUAGAGAUCCGGAAGAACACCGGUGGCGAAGGCGGUCUGCUGGGCAGUUGCUGACGCUGAUGCGCGACAGCGUGGGGAGCAAACAGG
rnacentral:rRNA from 1 species